rnacentral:misc_RNA from 1 species
UUAAGUUCAGCGGGUAUCCCUACCUGAUCCGAGGUCAACCUGAGAAAAAAAUGGUCCAGACCGGGUCGCGCGGUCCCUGACAUGCGUGCUUGACAAAAAGCUCGUUGCAUCUGGGGUCACACUCGACACGGUCAUUAUCUUUGGGACGUGUCCUUUAACCGGACAGCGAGUCCAAUGGCAAGCCAAGCUUGACCGUGGAA